rnacentral:lncRNA from 1 species
GCUCUCCACUUGGCAAAAUAUUAAACAAGAACUGGACCGCACAAGCUGCAGUUGAAUCCCGAGUCAGCAAGGUUCCAUUCUAUUUAAAGGGUACCCAAUUCCGGGGACAAAUAAGCACUUUCUUAUGCAAGGAAAUCGCUCUGCACUUUUUUUUUUUUUUUGAGAGGAAGGGAUUAAACCCAGGGCCUUGUGCAUGCUAGACAAGAACUCUACCACUGAGCUGUAUCUCAGCCCCUACACUUAUGUUUUGUUUUGUUUGAGACAGAGCCUCACUUUGUAGUUCAGGUUGGCCUUGAACUCACUAUGCAGUCCAGACUGGUCUCAAACUCAUGUUGAUCCUACUGCUUCAGCCUCCCAAGUACUGGGAUUACAGGAGUGUCCCCCAUGCCUGGCUCCCACACUUAUUUUAAAAAAGGCAUUCUAGGCUGGGCGUGGUGGUACACACCUAUGAUUCCAGCACUCCGAGACUGAAGCAGGAGGGUCACUGUGAGUUCAAGGCCAGGCUGAACUACAUAGGGUGACCCUGUCUCAAACAAACAAAAAGCCAACAAAUAAAAGAGAAGAAAGUAGUGCGGCUGUGCCAGUGUGUGUUUCUGAGAAACACCCAGUUUCUCCUCUCCCUCUGGUUAUCAGCCAAGCCCCACCCCCAGGCUCCGCCUGUUCUAACCCACGUGGACCCCAUUCCCCACCUUUCAAUCCUAACCUCUUUUUCCUCUUCCUCUUCUUGCCUUGUGGCUGGCCACUCUGCAGCCCCUUCUGUGAGUUCUCCCUCACGAAGGCCAGGGUGAUGAUUUCUUUCAGAUCUUCCAUGGCGCCGUCCUCCCUGUCUUCGGAGGCAGCCCCUUCCUCACCUUGCAACGUCAGGCACUGGAGAAUUUUCCUGGCCUGGGCCGAGCCUCUGGGGCAAUCCCAGCCCUCCCUGGAGAGAGGGCGGAGGAAGCCGCAGUUACGGGGAUCCACCUGCAGGGGGACCCCCUCCCUUGCUCAGGGAGCGGUGAACCCGGGUUCCAGUCCUGGUGACAGGCGGCCGUUUGCUCAGAGCAAGCCGGAGCCUCAGGCCUGCCGGGCAGAGGGAGAUGGUCCCAGCAAGCGCAGCCAGCCUGCAAUCUGCGACUGAGCUACAUCUGAGCAACCAGAGGGAUCAGAAGAAGAAGAAGAAGAAGAAGAAGAAGAAGAAGAAGAGGGCUGCCACUAAACUCAAGCCCUCUAAGAUGAUGCCAACGCACAAGGAUAGAGCUGUACUCAGAACACGGACAGAUCAGGCGGGGUCACGGUGAACCAGUCUUCCAGAAGGCACAGGCCUGUUCUUGGCAACCUCUGAGAGAACAGACCGAGGAACUCAAAGUCCUGACCUUGAGCUGCUCCCUCUGGGGUAAACGGCCCGCUCCACUCCCGGGUCUGAACAACCAAUGGGGCUCCUGGCCAAGCCCUGGGGAGGUGCGGCCGUUUACCCAAAGGUUAAUGUUAACCCGGAGAACUGGCCGCACUUGACCCUUGCAGCUGCGAGUCCUCUGGGACCUUUGAGCCGUCCUUGCCCAGGUGGGGAGAACAGGCCGGGUGCUCAGAUCUCUCUCCCUCAGAGAGAGCAACUGAAAGAGAGGGAAAGCGACAAACUGCUUCCCCAAGCGGCUGAGGCCCCAAGGCCGCUUGCUGCAGUCCUGCAUUCCAGGGCCCUGGGGAUGGCGGCCCAGACACAGGCACGAGUGACAGCAGCAGUCCCUGGGAGGACCAAGUCUGCUUUGUCCCUGGUCUCCUUUCUUCCUCUCUCCCUACCCACUCCUCCCUGUUUAAUGCCCAAGGCCGCAUCCUGCUGGCUUCUCUCCAAAGGCUGCAAAUAUCUCCUUCAAAGGUUUCCUGCAGGGGCCCAGAGCCUGAAUCUCCUGGUAGCUCACAACUCAUAGAAAUGUUCACUUGGCUCUUGGAGGUGCAUUGUUAUUGCUAUAGUUGUUCAAUAGAAGUAGUUGCCAAUAACUAGAAAAUGCAGAUUUCGCAUCAAAAAACCAGAUUUCUUUUCUUUUCUUUUCUUUUUGGAGACACAGUCUCACUCUGUAGCCCAGGCUGACCUCAAACUGGAGGCGAUCCUCCUGCUUCAGCCUCCUGAGUGCUGGGAUUACAGACAUAUGCCACCAAGCCUGGCUGUGCUAUUUUAUUUUUAAGUAUCAGCCUUGGGUCCUUUCUAUACAGUGAAAACAGUCUCAUUCUCUUACAAGACUUGCUCCUACUUCUGACCUACUUGCCAGGCCAUAGAGUCUAUCCAGAAGCAUGUUACAGACACAAUCCCUCGCCCUUGAGAUACCCUUCGAGACAGUCUUUCUGCUUCUACAGAUGAGAAGCUCAGGCAUUGUAGGGCACCCCUGGGCUUGGAGCGGGCCUGGAGAUUGUGGGCCCCUAAGAAUCAGUGAGUCCCACACCACUUUCCUCAACGCCAACCGCUUCGCAGUUCCUACUCCCAACCAGGGGCUUGGAUCGCCUGGACUUCCAUAAACAAGGCCAACUGUACUGUUACCACAUUGCAUUUAUUUUCACUCUUUUUUCUCCUCCCUUUAAUGAAUAUCCACAGCAUACCAGGGG